rnacentral:misc_RNA from 1 species
GAUGAAGAACGUAGCGAAAUGCGACAAGUAAUGUGAAUUGCAGAAUUCAGUGAAUCAUCGAAUCUUUGAACGCACCUUGCGCUCCUUGGUAUUCCAAGGAGCAUGCCUGUUUGAGUAUCAUUAAAUUAUCAACUGUGCCAAUUUGGUUACAGAUUGGAUGUGGGAGAUUCUUUUUGCAGGCCUUUGACUUCUCUUUGAGAAAAAAAAUAAAAGGUCGGCUCUCCUGAAAUGUAUUAGCAGUGCCUUUGUUGGUUCAUUAGGUGUGAUAAAUUGUCUACAUCUUCGCAUGAUACCUUCAUUUGUAAAGGUCAUAUUGCUUCUAAAUUGUCUUUGAUUGGACGCAAAACAUAUAUAAUGUUUGACAAACUUGAUCUCAAAUCAGGCAGGACUACCCGCUGAACUUAAGCAUAUCAAUAAGCGGAGGA